CGAAUCCUGAAGUGUACGUGAAUGCUAAGUUAACAGUUUUGACCGAACACCAAUAAAUAGGGAGCCCAAAUCUUGGCUUGGCAAACAUGCCCCAUGAACGCCGACGAGGGGAAGUUUAAAGAGUCAGUGAGGGCACCCACCUGCGAGAGGAGCGGGUUCAAAACGAUGUUAAUGAUGCACUACGGCACAUUCGGGAUUCGU
rnacentral:other from 1 species